CCCUUAGAUGUUCUGGGCAGCACGCGCGCUACAAUGGUCUUCGCAAACGGAUGCAUUCUCGAAGGAGAAUGCCAAUCUUGGAAUCUAUGCCUUGGUCGGGACAGUUGCUUGCAAUUUUUCGACUCGAACCAGGAAUUCCUUGUAAUCGUGAUUCAUCACAUCACGAUGAAUACGUCCCUGCCCUUUGUACACACCGCCCGUCGCUCCUACCGAUCGAAGAGUUAGGUGAAUUGUUUUGAUCGAUAAGAUUUGACUAUGGUCAACUCUCGUUGUGAAAUUCUGUGAAACUGACUGUUUAGAGGAAGGAAAAGUCGUAACA
rnacentral:rRNA from 1 species